CACGUAGUUGGCCGGCGCUUCUUCUGCGGGUACCGUCACUCUCGCUUCGUCCCCGCUGAAAGAGGUUUACAACCCGAAGGCCGUCAUCCCUCACGCGGCGUUGCUGCGUCAGGCUUUCGCCCAUUGCGCAAGAUUCCCCACUGCUGCCUCCCGUAGGAGUCUGGGCCGUGUCUCAGUCCCAGUGUGGCCGGUCGCCCUCUCAGGCCGGCUACCCGUCACAGCCUUGGUAGGCCAUUACCCCACCAACAAGCUGAUAGGCCGCGAGCCCAUCCCUAGCCGGUCAAAGACCUUUCCACCCCCGACCCAUGCGGGCAGAAGUCAUAUCCGGUAUUAGACCCAGUUUCCCAGGCUUAUCCCAGAGCUAGGGGCAGGUUACUCACGUGUUACUCACCCGUUCGCCGCUCGAGUACCCCCGAAGGGGCCUUUCCGCACGACUUGCAUGUGUUAAGCACGCCGCCAGCGUCGUCCUGACCAGGAUCAAACUC
rnacentral:rRNA from 1 species